CCUGACCUUGAACACUGCCAGGGAUGGGGCAGCCACAGCUUCUCUGGGCACCCUGUGCCAGCACCUCAGCACCCUCACCUGGAUCAUGGGCCACAAUGCACCCCUCAGCAAACCUCCCAAUGAUGUCAAAUGCAGGGUAAUGUGUUCACUUGCUCCCAGAAACCCAAAAAGGGCAAAUCUGAAAGCAGACCUCAGAACAAGCGGUAAAGUCUAUGUUUUAACCGUGAAACUGUUUCUCUGUGUCUCUCUUUUCCACGCCAGCAUCUGGUAGAUGAUUGUUAAGCCACUGCUGCUGCUGCAAAACUUUAUGUAACCAGUUCUGCUUUCAGUUCUGUUUAUUAAAAAAGGAGAAUUAUUGGCAAAGUAGUAAUAAACACCUCCGGCUUUAUUGCUUGCUUUUAGUUAAUAUCCUUUUCUCUCUCCAAAGUAUUUCCUAGGCAGAUAUAUCACUCUGAGGCUCCCAGUGUGCAGAAUGUUAGUAAAGUUUGCUGGAACAAGAAGUUAUCUCAAUGUAGAGCCCUGGGACACUGCAAUUUAUUGAGCUGCUUUGCUGGGUAGGUUUCCCUCUCCCCUGCCUGCCAGUGGAUGUCACACUUAACACAAACCUGGCAUAACCAAUGAGGCAGAUUCCUACUCCUUCCAUUAAAAAGUGUGCUUGUGCUGAAACUUUACAGCCUCCUCAAAGCAAGCUUUGACUGUAGCCUGAGGAAAGGCAACAAAAUCCAACGUAGACUGUGUAGGCAAUGAGGAUUUAUUUUCUCUUUUAUGGAACUAGACUGACACCUUCCUAACAGAUACACGCAAUAGUACUGUGAGGAAUUACCAGAUUUCUUUGUGAGAAAAGCUUUUUCCCCUGUUUUGUCAGUGACCUGUAUCCAUGCAAGGGAAUUCUGUUACAAAUAGAGCUGAACACACAUGCUCACCUCAGUAACACUUUCUUCAUUAUUUCAUUAUCAGAGCAAUGCAGUCCCUGGGAUUUCCUUCUAACUGCUUCCAUGGUGGCUCGAUGUAUUCUAUCCUGGCAAAGCAUCGUGGCACAGGUAGCUCCAGGCAGUGAGGCAUUGCUGCUGUUAGCUUCUGUGCCCGGAGAAAAGCAGUGUCAAGAACAGCGGAGCUUUAAGGCACUUGAACAUGCGUACACUGGUGAUCCUGGAGGCAGAAGGUGUGCAUCAUGCUUUGCAGAGGAGUCACAAAGGCAAGGAUCUUCAAAGAGCACACAAAAGCAAAGGUGGAAACAGAGGGAAGGAACUCCUCUUGGGUCUUGUGCUCCUGGGAAGUUUAUGGGCCCAUGGGGGUGAGUGCUGUGCGCCAUCCAAAUGACUCUGGUAUCUCUUCUUGACUAAGACUUGCGAGUAAAUUUGGGUCCAGAUUUCUUUCCUUCGCUACCUCCCUUAUAGAUUCCACCUGGAGAUUUUAAAUGUCAGUCAAAAUCCUGAGGCUUAAUCUCAAAAGCAACAGUGAAUUAUUAUCAUUAUUAUUAUUGCUGCUUUUAGUGGCUAAAUUAGUUUCAUCUUCUAUAUCCCUGGAAUAAGUUAAAGCACAUUUUCAAGAUGUUCACAAUCUCUGCAGUGGCUAACACCACAGAAAAUAAUUAAUGAAAGAGUAAAAAACCACGAUCGACCCCCAGAAGAAUGUUUCUAGUCUGAAACUCAGAAAAUUAGAUCCCUAUUUUUUAAGUUAGUUAAAAGGUCAAGCAAUAUCACAUACUUUCAAGGAAGAUAUUUCUUUCUAAAUGCCCUGCACUCCCAAUUUUCUUAUUCCUUGGCUCCACGAGGUGAUGGGCUCUGUUCUCAUUUCAGGGUAUAUGUUGUAUAUUGAGCAGGUGGGUGCCCAGUUUUGUCUUUAAAUAGAAAGACAUUAUUUUCUCAGAACCCCAUCUAUAUUUUGACAAAUACUGACGAAUUUCUGCCGUACCUCUCUACCACAGAGACACAGGAGUUGAUUCUGAAGGAAGCCCACUGGCAAGCUGUCAUAAAGAAAGCUGUGAAAAUCCAGAGGGAAGUAUUAUUAAAGUCUUGUUUAUAAUUUUGUAAUGAAAACCAGAAUCCCUGUGAGUCCACGCUCAACUUCAGGCAAUCCCUCAAGAGUAGAAAGCUUUAAAAGCUUUGUAUAGGGUACUUACAGUAUAACUGUGUACCUUAAUAUACCUUUAUAUAAGUAUCCUUACACUAGAAAGAUACUGAAAGUUGGCUUUAAUUAAGGGAGUGAUCCCUAGGGGAGGGGACAGGGAAAGAGGGAAAUUUUCCUUGCUUGGAAACCUGAACCAGAAAAAGGGCAAUUAGUUGUUGAAUGAUAUUGCAAAUACCAAAUCAGACUAAUCCUACAGUAA